UGUUUACAUUUUUCCAUUGCCUGUUGAGAAAUCUAAAGCUGAUCUACAUUGAAAAUCAAAUAAUAAUGCACAUUUUGGUGCAUGGAAUGAUACAUUUAAUGCAUCAUGUUGAAGAUUUAGUGCAUUUUUUAUUCGAGAAGCAUUUUGUGCUUAAACAUGCAAGAACUUGGUCACUGCCGCGGCUCUUUGUUCUGCCUAUGGCCGAUAACAUGCAUGCAUCACUGCUCCGUAGACCUAGACUCCAGGUACUGUCAGAACAAAGACGAAACCACCUCCAAACAGAGGAGAGUUGGGCCUCAGGAUCCAAUAACAAAGCCUGACACCUAUCCAUUUCUGACAGUGCGUGUGACUGUCAACCGCCUCUGCCAUUAUGAUGAGGAUUUUCUGGAGGUUAACAAGCAUCACAGAAUGACUAAGAGAUGUUUCACUCCCUCUGUCCUGGAAUUGGGGGAAAAAAAAAAAAAUAGUACUCCCUGCAAAUACUUUCCUACAUA